UACGUAGGGUGCGAGCGUUGUCCGGAUUUAUUGGGCGUAAAGAGCUCGUAGGCGGUCUGUCGCGUCGGCUGUGAAAACCCGGGGCUCAACCCCGGGCCUGCAGUCGAUACGGGCAGACUAGAGUGCGGUAGGGGAGACUGGAAUUCCUGGUGUAGCGGUGAAAUGCGCAGAUAUCAGGAGGAACACCGGUGGCGAAGGCGGUUCUCUGGGCCUGUACUGACGCUGGAGGAGCGAAAGCGUGGGGAGCGAACAGG
rnacentral:rRNA from 1 species